rnacentral:rRNA from 1 species
CCCUAUGGGGUGCAGCAGUCGCGAAACCUUUACAAUGCACGAAAGUGUGAUAAGGGGAUUCCAAGUGCUUAUGCUUUGCAUAGGCUUUUGUUAAGAGUAAAUAUCUUAGCGAAUAAGUGGUGGGUAAGACUGGUGCCAGCAGCCGCGGUAACACCAGCGCCACAAGUGGGGGCCGUAUAUUUGGUCUAAAGCGUCCGUAGCCGGUUUUGUAAAUUUUCUGUGAAAUCAUCCUGCUCAACGGGAUGGCGUGCAGGAAACACUGCAAAACUUGGGACCGGGAGGAGCUCGAAGUAUUUCAGGGGGAGCGGUAAAAUGCUUUAAUCCCUGGAGGACUACCGAUGGCGAAGGCAUCGAGCCAGAACGGAUCCGACGGUGAGGGACGAAAGCUGGGGGAGCGAUCCGGAUUAGAUAUCGAGAUUUCUGUCUAAGAUUAUUUUUGUUUGAUCGUAUGACUACUGAACAAAAUAAAAUAUCAGAAAUAAAAAACUCGACUAAUUACCCGAGUAGUCCCAGCUGUAAACGCUGCGAGCUAGGUGUUGCACAUUCUCCAAGAAUGUGCAGUGUCGAAGCGAAGGCGAUAAGCUCGCCACCUGGGGAGUAUGAUCGCAAGACUGAAACUUAAAGGAAUUGGCGGGGGAGCACUACAAGGGGUGCGGCGUGCGGUUUAAUCUAACUCAACGCAGAGAAUCUCACCAGCAGCGACGGCAGAUGAUAGUCAGUCUAAAGGGCUUACUGGAUGAGCCGAGAGGAGUGCAUGCA